UAGGGAAUCUUCGGCAAUGGACGAAAGUCUGACCGAGCAACGCCGCGUGAGUGAAGAAGGUUUUCGGAUCGUAAAACUAUGUUGUUAGAGAAGAACAAGGAAGUUAGUAACUGAACGUAUCCUGACGGUAUCUAACCAGAAAGCCACGGCUAACUACGUGCCAGCAGCCGCGGUAAUACGUAGGUGGCAAGCGUUGUCCGGAUUUAUUGGGCGUAAAGCGAGCGCAGGCGGUUUCUUAAGUAUGAUGUGAAAGCCCCCGGCUCAACCGGGGAGGGUCAUUGGAAACUGGGAGACUUGAGUGCAGAAGAGGAGAGUGGAAUUCCAUGUGUAGCGGUGAAAUGCGUAGAUAUAUGGAGGAACACCAGUGGCGAAGGCGGCUCUCUGGUCUGUAACUGACGCUGAGGCUCGAAAGCGUGGGGAGCAAACAGG
rnacentral:rRNA from 1 species